GCCGAAGAGCAAGUCACCCGUAACGCACCAAAUCUCAUCAGAUCUCGGAAUCUAAGCAGAGUUGAGCCUGGAUUGUGCUUGUAUGGGUGACCAACAUGCAUGCAACAGGUGUUGUAGACU
rnacentral:rRNA from 1 species